rnacentral:misc_RNA from 1 species
GGUCUUCUUCCCUACUCAAUCCACAAGUGUUGACUAUUUCAACUGGGUGGUGUAAUAGACAUGUACUCAAUGAGAGUGACAACCGCGGGGUGCUGAUUGGCCUCCAUGACCAGCUAAUGUGGUUGCUGCCUCAAAGCUGUCUGUUUCCUUUCGUCAAGUUUGUUAUAACUUGGUCUAAGAACUUGCUUAUGUAAUUUAUAGUCCCCAUCAUUUCGAUCACAACAGCAUUUCUGGAGUGUAUAUGUGAAAUUUAU